CGCCCCGCGACGUCACGCCCCACCCAGGCCCCGCCCAGGCCCCGCCCCCCGUUUCCACCAGCCUGUAGAGCUGCCUUGGAGCUUUAGAAACACUGAGAGGGGCGCGGCCUCUGCAAAGAUGUAGGCGGGGCACCCUCACUGGCCCAGCCCUCUGGCCGACCCCCAAGCUAGUACUGCAGUAUUAAAAGGUGACUGGGAUUUGGGGCGGGGAUUGGAAAUUGGCCACGCCUUAUUCGCCCCCGGAUUCGUGAAUGCACAGUGCGAAGCUGCUAGAGAAGAAACGGAGGGGGCAACCGAUGAAGGCCGCCAACAGCCUCUGCAGAGAGGGAGGCGUGGCUACCACCAAGGCCCCGCCCUGUUUUGGCAGCGACCCCAGCUGGAAAAACGGGACCUCUGCACAACGACUCGCCGCGCUACAUGGGCAGUCCCAGGUUUUCAUGUGAGCUCCUCUAUUCCCGAAAAGCCCUUGCAACUCCGAAGACCUCAUCAACAUGGUUUGAAGGAUCCAAGUUGGCUUCAGAUAACUGAACUCAGGCCGUUGAAGUUGGUGCCUCUCUUCUUCCAAAGGGAGUGGGAGUGAAUUCUUCUCCUCCAUCUGAGACAGGACUCUUCUCUCCAACCUGUAUGGCAGGUUUCCACUUCCCUCCAUUCACGGGGAGGACAACUGGUUCCCACACACUCAAGCUCAGUCUAGUUGGUUGCAAGGUCGUGCUUUGUAUUCAUCUCUGGCCAUCCUGGACUCACAGCUUGAUCCCCCCAGCAAGCCUAACUCAACCUUCAGAGAAUGUAUUUGAAAAUGUACACAACAAAACGGAUUUUUCUUCCAGGCAACUAGAAGGCAAAUCCAUAUCAUCUACAAAGAAACAACCUUUGAACUGACAAAUUUAUCACCGGCAAGGGUAAACAGACCAUAAUUGAAUAAUAUUCUCAAAGGAUGGAAAGAAAACAACUGCCACGUUAGGAUUAAAUAUUCAGCAUAGCUAUCCUUGAAGAGGAAGGUGAAUUGAGGAUUCAGCCAGAAUAAACAAAAGCUGUGCUUAGCCUGGUAAGCAGGUGCAAACCCCGCUAAGGAGCACUCUUCGGGAGGACAGAAACAAUGCCAGAAGAGACAAUGAGCAGAUAAACGGCACCGGUACAGCUAAGAGGGUGCUCCCUCCGUUAAAUCACUGUAUAGCUUGACCUUCAUGUUUCCCUUUGCUGGGGUUGUUAGUUUGCAAGUGACUGGGCUUCUCCCUGCAGUUUGCCAAGCCCUUUUCUGUUUUUUGUUUUUGCAACGCUGAUGAAUUUAGCUUCUCAGGGUAAGGGUGCCAUCUUCUAUCCAGCCUCUUGAUUUUAUCUCCCUGUCUUCAAAUUCUCUGGUCCAUUGAUCACAAAAACCAACGACCAACAGCAACAAUUAAAAAAUGGAGAC